UACGUAGGGUGCAAGCGUUGUCCGGAAUUAUUGGGCGUAAAGAGCUCGUAGGCGGUUAGUCGCGUCUGCUGUGAAAACUCGGGGCUUAACUCCGGGCCUGCAGUGGGUACGGGCUGACUAGAGUGCGGUAGGGGAGACUGGAAUUCCUGGUGUAGCGGUGAAAUGCGCAGAUAUCAGGAGGAACACCGGUGGCGAAGGCGGGUCUCUGGGCCGUAACUGACGCUGAGGCGCGAAAGCUAGGGGAGCAAACAGG
rnacentral:rRNA from 1 species